rnacentral:hammerhead_ribozyme from 1 species
AUCCAGCUGAUGAGUACCAAAUAGGAUGAAACGCACGUCCUGGAU